CGUAUACAACGUAUAUCAAACUGAUAUAUAUAACUUUGUUCUCAUAAGAAACAGUUUAGCUAUUAAGUGGAGGCGCUCAAUAAUUAUCUUGCUAAACCAACUUUGAUAUAAACCAACUUAUCAAGAUGAACUAUCUUGAGUAGAAAAUGUGAAAAUUAUGCUCGAAGUUAUAUUACUGAGCAAUUUACCUCGCAAGCACCGGUCAUGCUGCGGGUCAAUAACAAUCGCGCAUGUAACCAUUUCAUAAGUGCAUCAUAUGUGGUAUACAUGGCAGGUGAAUGGGCCCAUAUUCACCUUUGAUAUUUCC
rnacentral:lncRNA from 1 species